AACGUAGGAGACAAACGUUAUCCGGAGUUACUGGGCGUAAAGGGCGUGUAGGUGGUUUCGUAAGUCUGGCGUGAAAUAUCUCGGCUUAACCGAGGCAGGUCGUCGGAUACUGCGGAACUAGAGGACGGUAGAGGCGUGUGGAAUUCCGGGUGUAGUGGUGAAAUGCGUAGAGAUCCGGAGGAACACCAGUGGCGAAGGCGGCUUCCUGGACCGACACUGACGCUGAGGCGCGAAAGCUAGGGGAGCAAACGGGG
rnacentral:rRNA from 1 species